UGCAAGUCGUGGGGCAGCAGGUUUGUAGCAAUACAGAUGCUGGCGACCGSCAAAMGGGUGCGGAACACGUACGCAACCUCCCUCUUUCUGGAAGAUAGCCCACCGAAAGGUGGAUUAAUACUCCAUAAUAUAUUGAAGUGGCAUCACUUUAAUAUUAAAGCUCAGGCGGAAAGAGAUGGGCGUGCGUCUGAUUAGGUAGUUGGCGGGGUAACGGCCCACCAAGCCUGCGAUCAGUAGCUGAUGUGAGAGCAUGAUCAGCCACACGGGCACUGAGACACGGGCCCGACUCCUACGGGAGGCAGCAGUAAGGAAUAUUGGUCAAUGGACGCAAGUCUGAACCAGCCAUGCCGCGUGGAGGAUGACGGUCCUCUGGAUUGUAAACUUCUUUUCUCUGGGACGAAACCCCCGAUCUCUAUCGGGCCUGACGGUACCAGAGGAAUAAGCACCGGCUAACUCCGUGCCAGCAGCCGCGGUAAUACGGAGGGUGCAAGCGUUAUCCGGAUUCACUGGGUUUAAAGGGUGCGUAGGUGGGCAGAUAAGUCAGUGGUGAAAUCUCUGGGCUUAACCCGGAAACUGCCAUUGAUACUAUUUGUCUUGAAUUCUCUGGAGGUAAGCGGAAUAUGUCAUGUAGCGGUGAAAUGCUUAGAUAUGACAUAGAACACCCAUUGCGAAGGCAGCUUACUACGGAGACAUUGACACUGAGGCACGAAAGCGUGGGGAUCAAACAGGAUUAGAUACCCUGGUAGUCCACGCCCUAAACGAUGAUUACUCGACAUUAGCGAUAUUACUGUUAGUGUCUAAGCGAAAGCAUUAAGUAAUCCAYCUGGGAAGUACGACCGCAAGGUUGAAACUCAAAGGAAUUGGCGGGGGUCCGCA
rnacentral:rRNA from 1 species